rnacentral:tRNA from 1 species
GCCCUCGUUGUCUAAUGGUUAUGACGUCAGACUUCUACAUGAGAGCUAUCUGGAGGUUGCGGGUUCGACUCCCGCCGGGGGUA